AAGAAGUUUUCUAUCCCAAAACGUGGAGAGGCGUGAGUCUUAAAGUCACUAGGAAAAAAAUGGAAAGAUUACAAGGGCAGUUUGAAGGGUGAGUAUGCGCAAAAAUAUAAGACUAAAGAUGCUUUACUAAAAAAUAGACCAAGUCGUAUACCGAGGGAUCAAUGGAGUGGUCUUGUCUCGUAUUGGCUUUCCGAUAAAGCUAAGGUAGCUUUUACUAAUAAAUAGACCAAGUCGUAUACCGAGGGAUCAAUGGAGUGGUCUUUUAUCGUAUUGUCUUUCCGAUAAAGCUAAGAUAUCAACCUUGAAAAUUCUCCUAGUCUACUCAUUUUCAUUGUCGAUUUGAUUUUAGGUAUGCUCAAUUUUUGUUUAAAUUUUAUAAGAUAUCAUUUUAAUAUUUAAAUGAUAGAGACGUACCCUAGCAAAUAGAAACAAUAGGGCCAAGCAAACGAUGCCUCACACAGGAGGAUCAAAAAGUAUUGCCACCUUGAUGAAUGAGCAGGUAAACCUAUGAACACUACAAAUCAAAAUAUUUCAAACUUUUUUUGUCAUGCAAACAUAU
rnacentral:lncRNA from 1 species